GACGUGAGGGCGCAAGCGUUGUCCGGAUUUAUUGGGCGUAAAGAGCUCGUAGGCGGCUUGUUGCGUCGACCGUGAAAACCCGUGGCUCAACUGCGGGCUUGCGGUCGAUACGGGCGGGCUAGAGUUCGGUAGGGGAGACUGGAAUUCCUGGUGUAGCGGUGAAAUGCGCAGAUAUCAGGAGGAACACCGGUGGCGAAGGCGGGUCUCUGGACAGUUCCUGACGCUGAGGCACGAAGGUCAGGGGAGCAAACGGG
rnacentral:rRNA from 1 species